GAGGAGAAGAACAGAGAGGGCGACGCGAGAGAGAAGAAGAACAGAGAAAUGGCGACUGUACGCUUCGGUUCGUGCUUUUCAUCGCCCGAAACGACGCGGGAUGCAAACCGUUUGGGCCUUUAGUCCCGGGUUGAGCCACCAACCGGGACUAAAGAGGUAUACCAAACGGUUGCCACCACUACGGCAGACCACGUGUUAGGCCUUUAGUCCCGGGUUGAACCACCAACUGGGACUAAAGAGGUAUACCAACGGUGGCCACCACUACGGCAGGCCACGUGUUAGUCCUUUAGUCCCGGGUUGAGCCACCAACCGGGACUAAAGGGGGAUACGAACGGUUGCCACCACCACUGCCCGUCGUGUAGCCCUU
rnacentral:lncRNA from 1 species